UAAUUGGAAUGAUACAGGGAAGAUUAGCAUGGCCCCUGCACAAGGAUGACACACAAAUUCACAAAUAAUUCCAUAAAAAA
rnacentral:snRNA from 1 species